UUCAAGAUGGUGAAAAUGAUAAUUCAACGUCAAUAUGACCCUGUGAUACUUUUCAGCUUCAGCAAAAGAGAGUGUGAAUUUCUUGCCAUGCAGAUGGCCAAGAUGGACUUGAAUGGGGAUGAUGAGAAA